rnacentral:rRNA from 1 species
ACCAGACUCCUACGGGAGGCAGCAGUGGGGGAUAUUGCACAAUGGGGGGAACCCUGAUGCAGCGACGCCGCGUGGGUGAAGGAGUAUUUCGGUAUGUAAAGCCCUAUCGGCAGGGAAGAAGCAAGACGGUACCUGACUAAGAAGCCCCGGCUAACUACGUGCCAGCAGCCGCGGUAAUACGUAGGGGGCAAGCGUUAUCCGGAUUUACUGGGUGUAAAGGGAGCGUAGACGGCAGUGCAAGUCUGGAGUGAAAGGCGGGGGCUCAACCCCCGGACUGCUCUGGAAACUGUACGGCUGGAGUGCAGGAGAGGUAAGUGGAAUUCCUAGUGUAGCGGUGAAAUGCGUAGAUAUUAGGAGGAACACCAGUGGCGAAGGCGGCGUACUGGACUGUAACUGACGUUGAGGCUCGAAAGCGUGGGGAGCAAACAGGAUUAGAUACCCUUGUAAUC